rnacentral:rRNA from 1 species
AUUGAACGCUGGCGGCAUGCCUUACACAUGCAAGUCGAACGGCAGCACGGGUGCUUGCACCUGGUGGCGAGUGGCGAACGGGUGAGUAAUACAUCGGAACAUGUCCUGUAGUGGGGGAUAGCCCGGCGAAAGCCGGAUUAAUACCGCAUACGAUCUACGGAUGAAAGCGGGGGACCUUCGGGCCUCGCGCUAUAGGGUUGGCCGAUGGCUGAUUAGCUAGUUGGUGGGGUAAAGGCCUACCAAGGCGACGAUCAGUAGCUGGUCUGAGAGGACGACCAGCCACACUGGGACUGAGACACGGCCAAGACUCCUACGGGAGGCAGCAGUGGGGAAUGUUGGACAAUGGGCGAAAGCAUGAUCCAGCAAUGCCGCGUGUGUGAAGAAGGCCUUCGGGUUGGAAAGCACGUUUGUCCGGAAAGAAAUCCUUGGCCCUAAUACGGUCGGGGGAUGACGGUACCGGAAGAAUAAGCACCGGCUAACUACGUG